rnacentral:rRNA from 1 species
GAUGAACGCUAGCUACAGGCUUAACACAUGCAAGUCGAGGGGAAACGGCAUCGAAAGCUUGCUUUUGAUGGGCGUCGACCGGCGCACGGGUGAGUAACGCGUAUCCAACCUGCCCAUCACUUGGGAAUAACCUUGCGAAAGUAAGACUAAUGCCCAAUGACAUCCCACGAAGGCAUCCGAAUGGGAUUAAAGAUUUAUCGGUGAUGGAUGGGGAUGCGUCUGAUUAGCUUGUUGGCGGGGUGACGGCCCACCAAGGCAACGAUCAGUAGGGGUUCUGAGAGGAAGGUCCCCCACAUUGGAACUGAGACACGGUCCAAACUCCUACGGGAGGCAGCAGUGAGGAAUAUUGGUCAAUGGGCGAGAGCCUGAACCAGCCAAGUAGCGUGCAGGAUGACGGCCCUAGGGGUUGUAAACUGCUUUUAUAAGGGAAUAAAGUGGGUCACGUGUGACUUUUUGCAUGUACCUUAUGAAUAAGGACCGGCUAAUUCCGUG